CAGUAGCCGCGGUAAAACGAAGGGUGCAAGCGUUACUCGGAAUUACUGGGCGUAAAGCGUGCGUAGGUGGUGGUUUAAGUCCGUUGUGAAAGCCCUGGGCUCAACCUGGGAAUUGCAGUGGAUACUGGGUCACUAGAGUGUGGUAGAGGAUAGUGGAAUUUCCGGUGUAGCAGUGAAAUGCGUAGAGAUCGGAAGGAACAUCUGUGGCGAAGGCGACUAUCUGGGCCAACACUGACACUGAGGCACGAAAGCGUGGGGAGCAAACAGGAUUAGAGACCCCCGUAGUCCCUGUCUCUUAUAC
rnacentral:rRNA from 1 species